AUAAAUGCAGUCGCUUACUGUAUUUACUGUAGAAUGAAACUAGAUGGUCAGAAAUAUGCAGAUACCUGACCAUAACACUCAUAUGAGGGUAUUUACAAGACUGUUGCUACUAAUUUUAAAGCAUGUAGUUGUCCAUAAUGUCUUUGAAUAAUGUUGCAGAAAUACUUCCUUCAUUGGAAUUAAAAGGCUUAAACCUGUUCCAGUAUGACAAUGCCAUUGUGCACAAAGCACACUCUGUGAAAACAUGCUUCGCAAUGACCGAGUGUCGUGCACAGAGCAACUCUACUAAACACUUUUGGGAUGAAUUGGAAAUCUGACUGAACACCAGGCCUCCUCGUUCACCAUCAGUGCAUUACUUUACCAAUGCUCUUGUUAGUGCCUUCUAACAGGCAUGGAUGUUAUAAUAACAGUGAAAGGGGAAAUAAUUAAUUCAAUAAUCAAUAUUAAUUCCCAUGAUUUUGAAAUAGGAUGUGAUAUACUCAUGUGUUCGCAUGAGUACUUUUGGCUAUGUAUUGGUCUGUUUUUGUUUUCAUCACACUGAAUAAACCUGAUGAUAAUAUAUAAUAUAUAAAAUACAAAGAAAUUAAACAUAAAAAAAAGUGAGAGGGAUGUGGUAGCUUAGUGGUUAAGGUCUUGGAUUACUGAUCAGAAGGUUGUGAGUUUGAAUCCUGGGUCUCCCAAGUAUCCCCUGCUGGGCUUUUUAGCAAGACCCCUGACCCUCAAUUGCUCAGUUGUAUAAAAUGAGAAAAAAAUGUACGCCGCUGUGGAAAAGGGUGUUGUGUUGUCCUGUAAGGACUUUAAUAUUUAUAUGUGUGCUUUAAAUAUUUUUGAUAAAUAUUCCUCUAUAAAAAUUUAAAGUUUAUAAUUACUUUAUCUACUUAAUUUGUAAAAAUAUAUGGUUCGUUUUAUGCGAUGCCACUUCCGGUUAGCGCUCAGUGCUCAAUCUUGCAAUGAACCCGGCAUGGUGUGCUCUUUAUAGUAUCCAGCGCAUCCACUAAAAACAUCAUAGAGGCAAUGCCAAGAGUGCUGUCCUGGAUCCAGUUGUGUGGCUGACACCACCGACGUAAAAGGUUUUAUGAUGAAGUUCAACCCUCUCCUCUUUGGUGUUUGUCUAACACAAUUCAUCUGUUAAGGCUUGCCUUUAAAAAAACUUGCUUCCUGUGUUAACAGAGUCCUUGCAGCCAACCACAGUGUGCAACCUUUCACGAAAGGCAGGUUUUGUGAAGGUAGCACUGAUGACUGAAUCUUUGUACAUAGACAACAUAGUAAAUUCUUACUAACAUGACUUUUUCGAUAACUGGGAUGAAACUAAACUAAGAGAAUAAAAAAACAAACACUGAAGAGAAGUGGCAAGAAAAUCCUCAAUAAACAAACAAACAUACAAA